AGAUACCCUAUUAUUUUUAUUGUAAAAUGUUGAAGCCUGAGUAGUAAUAGUUAUAAUCUUUAAACUUAAAGAAUUUGGCGGUAUUAUAGUCUAUUUAGAGGAAUCUGUUAUGUAAUCGAUAAUCCACGUUGAACCUUACUUAUAGAAAUGAGUUCUUGUAUACCGCUGUUUAUGAAUAUACUUUUAGGUAAAUUUUCUGGAUUUAUAAAUAUGAAAUAUUUCAAGUCAAGGUGCAGUAAUAUAUAAGUUGAAUAAUGGAUUACAAUAAAAUUUAUUUAGCAUGGAUAAUUAGUUAAAUUUGAUUUGAAGGUGGAUUUAAUUGUAAUUUUAUGAAGAUUGUUAAGAUGAUUUUAGCUCUAUAAUAUGUACACAUCGCCCG
rnacentral:rRNA from 1 species